UUCGCCGCGGAGCCGCAACCUGUCGGCCACCGUCCAAGAGCUUGCCGGGGCCGGAAGUGACGUUGCGCGCCACUUCCGCUUCCGGCUCAGGCUGCGCGGCGGAUUUCGGCGGGUGUGAGCAGUGGCGCGGCGCUGGCGGAGAACAUACUGUGAUGUCUCAGGGCCAAAACCAUGAGUGAAUUUCGGAUUCACCACGAUGUCAAUGAGCUGCUCAGCUUGCUGCGUGUGCAUGGAGGGGAUGGGGCUGAGGUUUACAUUGAUCUCCUGCAGAAGAACAGGACCCCAUACGUCACAACCAACGUGUCCGCACACAGUGCCAAGGUUAAAAUAGCAGAAUUUUCUCGUACUCCAGAAGACUUUCUGAAGAAAUAUGAUGAAUUGAAAUCGAAAAACACAAGGAACCUUGACCCACUGGUGUACCUGUUGUCAAAGCUCACGGAGGACAAAGAGACUCUGCAGUAUUUACAGCAGAAUGCGAGAGAGAGAGCCGAGCUGGCAGCCACGGCCACUGCCAGCAGCACCACCAGCUUCAGCGCCCCCGCCACGGCCUCCAGGAUCUCCAUGCAGGAGCUCGAGGAGCUGAGGAAGCAGCUUGGCAGCGUGGCCACGGGCUCCACGUUGCAGCAGUCUCUGGAACUUACAAGAAAGAUGCUUCGAGACAAGCAGAACAAAAAAAAUUCAGGCCAGCGCCUCCCCGUCUUCCCUGCCUGGGUGUACGAGCGGCCCACGCUGGUCGGGGAUUUUCUGACCGGCUCAGGCCUAAGCACGGACACAGCUGUGCCUAUAGGCUCCCUGCCCCUGGCCGCCCAGGAGUCGGCCGUCGUGGAGGACCUGCUCUACGUGCUGGUGGGUGUGGAUGGCAGAUACAUCACCGCCCAGCCCCUCACCGGGAGGCAGAGCCGGACCUUCCUUGUGGACCCCAACCUGGACCUGUCCAUCAAGGAGCUGGUGAACAGGAUCCUCCCGGUGGCCGCCAGCUACUCCACUGUGACCAGGUUCAUUGAGGAGAAAUCUUCCUUCGAAUACGGGCAGGUGAACCACGCGCUGGCGGCUGCCAUGAGGACCCUAGUGAAGGAGUACCUGAUUCUGGUGACGCAGCUGGAGCAGCUGCAGAGGCAAGGCCUCCUGUCGCUGCAGAAGCUCUGGUUCUACGUGCAGCCGGCCAUGCGCACCGUGGACAUCCUGGCCUCCCUCGCCACCUCGGUGGAUAAAGGUGAGUGUGUUGGGGGGUCCACCCUGAGCCUCCUCCACGACCGGAGCUUCAACUACACGGGCGACAGCCAGGCGCAGGAGCUGUGCCUGUACCUCACCAAGGCCGCCAGCGUGCCCUAUUUUGAGAUUCUAGAGAAGUGGAUCUACAGGGGGAUCAUCAAUGACCCGUACAGCGAGUUCAUGGUCGAGGAGCACGAGCUGCGGAAAGAGAAGAUCCAGGAGGACUACAACGACAGGUACUGGGACCAGCGGUACACUGUGGUGCAGCGACAGAUCCCGUCCUUCCUUCAGAAGAUGGCGGGCAAGGUGCUCAGCACAGGAAAGUAUCUCAAUGUGGUCAGAGAGUGUGGUCAUGAUGUCACCUGCCCAGUGGCCAAAGAGGUCAUCUAUACAUUGAAGGAGCGAGCAUAUGUGGAGCAGAUUGAGAAGGCAUUCAACUACGCCAGCAAAGUCCUGCUGGACUUCCUGAUGGAGGAGCAGGACCUCGUGGCGCACCUGAGGUCCAUCAAGCGCUACUUCCUGAUGGACCAGGGGGACUUCUUUGUGCACUUCAUGGACCUCACAGAGGAGGAGCUGAAGAAGCCAGUGGACGACAUCACGCCCACACGCCUGGAGGCGCUGCUGGAGCUGGCCCUGCGCAUGAGCACCGCCAACACAGACCCCUUCAAGGACGACCUCAAGAUUGACCUGAUGCCUCAUGACCUCAUCACUCAGCUUCUGCGGGUUCUGGCCAUUGAGACCAAGCAGGAGAAGGCGAUGGUGCAGGCCGGCCCCACGGAGCUCUCUCUCAGCGGCCUGGAGGCCUUCUCUUUCGACUACGUGGUCAGGUGGCCCCUGUCGCUGAUCAUUAACAGGAAGGCCCUGACGCGGUACCAGAUGCUGUUCCGGCACAUGUUCUACUGCAAGCACGUGGAGCGGCAGCUCUGCAGCGUCUGGAUCAGCAACAAGGCCGCCAAGCAGCACGCACUGCACUCCGCCAAGUGGUUUGCCGGCGCCUUCACGCUGCGACAGCGGAUGCUGAACUUUGUUCAGAACAUUCAGUACUACAUGAUGUUCGAGGUCAUGGAGCCCACCUGGCACAUCCUCGAGAAGAACCUGAAGUCCGCCUCCAACAUCGACGACGUGCUGGGCCACCACACAAGCUUCCUGGACAACUGCCUGAAGGACUGCAUGCUCACCAACCCCGAGCUGCUCAAGGUCUUCUCCAAGCUCAUGUCCGUGUGCGUCAUGUUCACUAACUGCAUGCAGAGGUUUACACAGAGCAUGCGAUUGGACGACGAGCUGGGCCGCCUGACCCUGGAACACGGCACGAUGCAGGGGCCGCCCACCGAGGCUGAGCGGGCGGAGGAGCGCACCCGGAAGGAGCUCGCCAGGAAGCACCUGGCCGAGCACGUGGACACGCCGCAGCUGGCCUCCAGCUUCGAGGCCACCAUCAAUAAGUUCGAUAAGAAUUUUUCAUCCCAUCUACUUGACCUCCUGGCCCGGCUGAGCAUCUACAGUACCAGCGACUGCGAGCACGGCAUGGCCAGCGUCAUCUCCAGGCUCGACUUCAACGGCUUCUACACGGAGCGCCUGGAGCGCUUGUCUGCAGAGAGGAGCCAGAAGGCAGCCCCCCAAGUGCCUACCCCGCGGGGGCCCCCAGCACCAGUGCCCAGAGUCGCCGUCACCGCCCAGUGAGGCCCUCGGAGCCCUGCACCACCACACGAAGGAGGGUGGGUGGGUGGAGGGUCCUGUGCGGGUGGAUG